rnacentral:lncRNA from 1 species
AUCCUUGUCAUUUUAAUGGGCUUUUGGCUUCCUCUAAAAGGGAAACCUUUGGCCGGGAGCGAGGCCUGAACACCACACCUCGUACCGUCUCUCACCUGGGAAGUUUCUCUUUUUUAUUCCCCGCAGAGAUCACAUAUUAGUCUGAGUGUGUGUGUGUGUGCGUUUAUGUGCGUCAAAGUGUGUUUUCUUCUCCCCGCAUAUGUGUGUGCAUCCAGAUCCGGGGCCCUUAAUCUGUGGUAGUGAUGAUGACCCAGUUUCGCCCCCCAACCCCGCCCUCUGCCGACGGUCGCCAAGGAGACGCUUCCCUCUCAUCCCUGUGGUCGGAUGCUGGCAAAGGUUAGUCAAUCUCACACUCACAAACACACACACACUGCCUUUGAUACUUUGUGAGGACCACAUUUUGCGGUUUGUUUGGACGACUGUUGCCGAGUACGAUGUCCGCACAGGCAAGAAUGUCCCCGAUUAAAGGUUAUCCUUUAUUACGAGUGUCUGCGUGUAAAUAAAGUGAAGAAACCGUAGACACAGGAGUUAUAAAGACACCAGCUUUGAUUAAAAAAAAACACUUUUAUUUCAAUUCAGGUCAAUCCGGAGUUUUAAAGGAACGCUCCAAAUAAACACAGAGUGGGAUUUGUGUUCUUGUAGUGCUGUUCUCUCUCUUUCUUUCUCUCCGUUUGUCUCUUUUUCUCUGCUUCAGAUGAAAAAAAAAAAAGGGAGCUAAUGCAAAUUCAUGCAAACUAAUCCUAUCCUGCUCCGUCAUCACCCCCCGCCGCCUCGAACACCUGCACUGUCUGUCUGCGCUGCAUUUGCAUGCUAUUGUUGCAGUUUCGCUUUUACGUGUUACGAUUUAAGAUCAGAUUUAGGCGUCUGAUUUGGCCUCACACACACAAACACACAUGCAUUACAAACCUCUGCCCUCUACUGGAGCCACAGAAAUACACAAACAAGAAGCAUCUCUGAGACGUCACCCUUGAUUUAUAAAAUCCGACUUCUUUCCGAACAAAUGGCUUAACCUACACACACCUACACACACAUGCACACACACUCUCCCAUGAACCCAUCCCCCCACUGCCCCCCCUCCCCUCCCUCUGUCCAAUAAUUUAUCCUCCGAGCCGCUAAUCCCGCUGGCCCAGAUUUGGCCCACAGUCUGCUCCACAUGAUGUUUGUUGUCAUCCAAACAACUGCACACACACACACACACACACACACUCCCCACGCCAAUCUCAAACACACACAUGCACACAUAUAUGUAUAUACUGCAUUCAAACACCAGCCCAACCCCCCACUACAGGCUUCCUAGCUGCCUUCCUGCAUCAUGUGACCCCCCCCCUCUAAAGUCAUGUGACUCAGAAGUCUUGUAGCACCUGUGACCUACUGUACUGAGCUGCAGCACACGCCAGCAGCAAUGUGGGCUAAGAGAGCCGCUUCCAUCUACAGUAUUCAUGCACAGAGUGAGUCACCGUGUGGAGGAAAUGCAAAACAGGGUGGGCUCAUCAUCAUCAUCAUCAUCAUCAACAUCAACAUCAUCAUCGUCACUCCAGGCGAUUCAGUUCCCUCCCGUCUUCAUGUCAUGUGUGCAUUAAUCUUAAAUCUGUAUCUCAUCCACGUGGGCUUUUUUAUGGUCAUCCGCGCGUGUGCCGGGAUUCGGUACAACGCCCGCCUCGUAGCCCUUGUGCAUCCCCGCGUCGCCAUGGCAACAGGUCCUCUCGACAAGGACCGAUUCUGACACAUCAAGAGUAGCCGUCGGGGCCGAGCUUAAAAAACGCUCACAUGCAGGACGAAAGGAAGGAAAAGAGGAGCAGACUGUUAGCCAGAAAAGAAAGCUUAUACGCGGGUUGGGUGGUGGGCGGACUGAAAACUCGGAUGUAGGUUGAAGUAUUUCAAGAGGAGCAUGGUUUGUUUCUUCUUGAGCCUUCAGUCAAGGCUGCUGCGGUGGAUGGAAAUCUUAAAUCAAUAGCACAAAUGAUAAAACGGAUAGAAAAGGCAGCACUGUACAAUAAAUACUGACACUAUAAGGGUGUGAAAGACUAAAACAUAACCUCAGUUUGAUGUUUGAAUGGUACAGUUCUGUGUUAGAUCCAUCAUCAUUUAGAUGUGAUCCAUAAAACCAGCAAAAGAGUGGAAGAACGAAAACGCUCUGAUGACUCAAACAGGAGGACUCAGUGAGUCAGCCUCCAGUCAAAUUAAAGCAGAGAUGACAUUUUCUUAACGACACAAAGAGUGAUUAAUGUUUGAAAUAAUGACAAUCUGAGGAAACCGAGGCUGAAAAACCCUGUAAACCCGUCCAGAAAUUAUAACAAUAUAAUGAAUCUUCAAAGCGGAAACAGUUCAAAUCCCUGCAUCUCAAACUUAAAGCAUCCUCACUUCCUCUGUUGUAAAGUUUAACUCUGAUGACUCGGACUUUGAAUUGGAUUUUCUAAUCUGUGAUAAACUCCAGUGUUAAAAGACGAAUCCAAAGUAGAAGUGUUACAAAGCUGCAGUACCACAAGUGUCCACCGGGGGCUGGCUCUAGAAGCCAAAGAAACCAACUGCCUAGUUUUAAAACCAGGCAGUUUAGAGCCUAUCUGGCGAUCACAAAAUUGGUAACGUAGACUCAAGCUCCCAGAGGCGGGCCUUAGCCUCCUUACAAAUGUCAGUCAAGGCAGCUGAGCCUCUGAUUCGCCAAUCUUGUAACCUUAAAGGUGGAGUAGGCAGGAUUCCGUGAAAGAAGAAUCUUUGUUUGUGGUGUAUACACAAUAAAACUUGUAUAAGUCAAUAGUUAUUAGUUAUUGAUGACAUUUGGUAAUAUAAUGAUACCACUGUGUUUUGUUAUGUCUGUGUAGUCAACAUUUUACAUUUUUUGAGCAGCCCGCUCUUUCUGACCUUAAACAAAGCCAUUCUCCGCCUCCCCCAACCUGAUUGGUUGUGAGGCGGACGCUGCUCCCUCGUGUUGUGAGGCACGCCCCACAUCCUCCAAUAACUUGAACG